UUCUGUUCUAAAUCAGAGCACAAAGAAUAAACUUCCAGGGUCACCCACCAGAUGACAGAGCCACCCAAUGGGAAUCACCCACAUCGUUUGUGAGCUCAAAGCCCCAAGCAUACGUCUGACCAGAAAAAUAAAAGGCAAAUGGGAAAAGCGCUGAGCCAGAGGAACCAAAGACUGAGCUCUCUCCUCAUUUAACACAGGGAUCUCCAAUGAGAAUGCCUUCCACGCUUGUUACUCCUAAGAGUGAUGGCUGCUAAGGCCAGAGGUGGGCCUGGGGACUGUGUGGUGCUGAGCUGUCAGCAAGGCCAUUCUUACCUACAUUCACCUGCAUUUCAGAAGCCUGGAAAUUAGCAGAACUCCAGCGUCACUCAGCAGAAGCUUAUCCUUCUGCAUUAAAGUAGUAGCUGAAAGAGCUGCCAUCUUAGGUUAAGAUGUUUAGCCUGCCUAAAACAGUGUAUUUCUGAGGAAGAGUACAUAUCGCUCAUUUAUACUCCCUUUUUACCUUAGUAUUGUGUACGUUUCAGACCUUUCCUAAGGGACAUGUGUAGAAGAGAAGUUUCUCCAGGAGUCGAGAGGGGGAUUCGCUGAAGAGCUUGGACACUGAGGCGCUGCAGAGCGUGCUGUGCUCGCCAGUGUCCAUGGGCUCCUUCCACGGUUAGGUGGGUGGCAUGCUGGUUGUAGCCAAGGGCAUCGCACUUCUGAUUCAGGCAGUUAAGAACCUGGUGCUCCUUCUACUCUUUCUCUUCUGUCCACAUGACUAGAAGUACCUGAGCCAACCCAGAUCACAAAGCCACACUAUGAUCUGAGUCACUGCUUGGAGGACAACUGUCAUGGAGCCACCCAGUUCUCAACAGACUUUGCACACCUGAGAAACACACUUGUAUUCAGUUAUUGGAAUUUGAGGACUAUUUGUUAUAACAGCUAGCGUGAAUUACUAUAACUAAUACAAAAGAGAAAUUGGAAAGGCUAGUCAAAAUGUAUCCACAGUCGUUUCCAUAGCCGCUGCACUGAGCUACAGGAAGUGGAAGCUGUGGCUAUUCCACCCCUGUAACUGCUAUCCCCAGGUCCUGAGAUAAUGUCCACCUGUUCUUUGAGAUGAUGUCACCCAGAUCUCCAGAUCUUGAGGACCCAUCUGGAAUGUGGCCCCCUCCACUGAAGAACCCACAUGGUUGCCACGGUUUUCCCUCAUCACCGGCACAUUAACAGGUGGCCACUGCCCCCAGCCAGAAUGAACAGGACCAGGGACUCUCUGGGGGGUCUGGCAGGAACCACGGCUGUGGCUGAGGAAGCGCUCUGGUAUGUAUCAAGUGCAGCGUGAGUCCUGACUCGUGAGGCUGCCCCAGAUCCAAUGCAUAAAAGGGAGAAUCCAGUUGGCCUCACUGUGGUAACAUGCCUACCGCUUGGCCAGGGAGAGCAGGGCGCCUUGAUUGACAGUCUACCAUGCGGAUGAGCUAAUUCCCUGGAAUGCACAGGAGGGGGAUGAGGUCAUUUCCUGGAAAGGAAAUGGGGUGCUAUUAGCAUGAACGGGGAGCAGCAAAAACAACAAAUGUCCAUUCCACCUGCUUUCUAAGUUCAUAGAUUUGAUUUUAGCCCAAGACUCCUGGAGACUGAUGCUGUCAUUCAAAGGCUUGGCAUCCAUGGAAAGGCGGAAAAGCAUGCCCUGGUCAGGUGGUAAAGAAAGAACACCACUCCGCAGCGUCCUGACACUGGAAACUGAUGACAGACCUGGAUGCUCAUUUCCUCCUGUGAAAUUACUCCUCUCCUAUUUCAGAAAUGAGGAAGGAGGGGCAAAGAUGGGAAAACUGCCCAACAUCAUCAGCUAAGCAGAAACCUGCCAUGCAUCUGAGAUCUCUGUCUUAAGGCUCAAUCUCCCGACCCCAUGCAUCUCGCUCAGUCACCUUCCGCUGCUGACAGGAGGGUCCUGGGGGGCUGAGGGCCUCACUACCACUGGAACCAUUUCUGAAAGCAAGCAUCCUCCUGGGGUAGGGGUAUGGGGCCUGGCUGUAGGCUUGACUUGAGGCUGACUGUUCCUGUCAAGGCUGGGGAGGGAGGGGACCAGGAAGCGGGUCGGGAAUGGGAAGGAACCCAGCAUGACAGAUUUCAAAGGUGACAAUAUUUUCCUGAAAAUAUAGUGUCUGUGUGCAGUAGGUUUUGAUAUAACUAACCUUCUGUCUUGAGUUGGAGCUGGGAAUGGAUUCUUUUUUUUUACAGGAAAAGGAAAUGCACAGGUGUGGAGCUGCCAACAGCAAAGGAAGCUCUCAGGUGACUUGUCAUGGUGCAAUUUAUAGCCCCAAGUCUCAGAAGGGCUGUGGCGGGCUGAGGAGAGGGUAUGAAUUGCUGACAGUGGAGCCUGGCAUCUGGCACCCAUCCACGCCACUGAGCUCAGCAUGCACGUGUGUCGCCAGGACACAACCGCAUCAGGGCCAUUGAAGUGAAAAGGGCAGAAGGCAAGUGCACUCAUCCAGAGGGGACAUAAAAACGGAACCCGGAAAGCAACAGAGAGGGAUUGUGGGGAAGGGGAGCUGGCUCCAGGUGAGGGGCCUCCCAUGACCUCUCCGAGACCCGACUUGCCACAGCUAAUUGGACCUGCCCUCUGCUCCUGAAACACACAUAGCAUGGAUGCUGGCAAGGUCUUCCUUCCAAGAGAAGAACGUCCCGUUGGCUGUCAGGCCAGCUCUUCUGGGAAGUGGACAAAAGGGCCUCAAGGGACAUUAAUCAAAUAACUUAACUCCCACCCUGUCCCCGAGGCUUUCCCCAGAGCCACAGAGACCAGAGGAAGCGGCUGGAAGACUCUGCGAGAGCCCAUUAGGCAGCAAGGCCUGACAGUCCACACAGCGUCCCGGGGCGAGGGCCACAGCCGUGUUUACAGAGCCCGGGGGCCCUGCCAGCGCUAACAUGCCACAUGCUCGGCCCAUCUGGGCAGGCUGGAAAAAGUCGACCAUUUUCCUCUGGAUCCCGAUGGCUGUGGCUCAAAACAUUCUGCACAGCUACAUUUGCUUCCCUCCCCUCACAUCCCUUCAGAAAACCCACACAUCUGCAUACACACUUGAAAAUAAAUACGCAUAAAUGCAGAAUCCACGUUGAAGGUGGGGGCGGGACAGACCUCCGGGGCUCCUCUCUGCACGGACCCCACCUGAAGCUGCUUUCCUGCCCCAGGACAGCCCACCCCAGGCAGGCUCCAACUGCAGCAUUUUCUAGAAGUGUGAGAACUCUUCCCAACGUGCUACCUGGCUCUGUGGCUCCCCAGUCAACACAAACACAAUUUUGAGGUCUGCAGUUCAAAUUUGCUUCCCCUACAAACUUCUGAGCUGGGUUCAGAGGGCAAAAAGGCCCAAGUUUCCAAGUCAAUUGGAAACCCUCCAAGCCAAGACCCGUCUGCAUACACCAACUUUACCAAAGAUUUUCCUUCUCACUAAGACAACAGAAGAUAAAGCCUCUGCUCUGCUCUU